GUAAUUCGUGGCUCGAGCUUUUGUAACAUGACUUGGUAUUUAUACCGGAAACAGAGACGGGAAACAGCGCAGCGGAGGAUUGAAACUCGACGGACAAAGAUUUCUCACUAAGAUAUUAAAACACGGACGAACAACGAUGGUCUGACUGCUAAUAAAAGCCGGCGCCUACGUGGUCCGGAAGAUUCGGGCUUCGGUCACAGCUGGAGAGCAGCUGGAGAAGCCCAUCAUCACACCAUGUAGUGCUAGUGCUAAAAUGAGAGUGGAGCAUGGGGCGGGUGGAGGCGCCCCUUCUGCAGCACUGAUCCCAGGGCUUGAAGAAGGUGUCGGCGGGGCAGAAGCCUCGGGGGGGUCCUCAAAGAAAGCUGUGCAGAAAUGUGGCUCCUGAAGUUAAAGACCACGCUGGACCCCGGAGACGGUCACCGCAACAGAAAAACAGAAUUCUUCAUCUUUGCAUACAGCGUUUACUUUGAAGGACUAUAACAUGGACAUUCUCCCUACAUACAGAAUAAUUUAGAGGCAAUGCUCAACUUUAAGUUCUAAACUAAAAUGUUCCAAACAAACUCAACCUGAAAUCCAAAGACCAUAAUGUCACUGUUUUCCUUCGUCCAUGCUGCUUUCAGGGGACAAAGUCCAGCUCUUACUGACACACAUCUCGACUUUCCAUCAGAAGACACGAAUAACUAUCAUCUUGACUCCUUUGCCUUUGAUGGGCCACACAGAAUGCAACAGGCACCUGAAUGUAAUGGAGUCGUCCAUGUUAUUAAAUGUAUGUGGUACUGCAGUGUUUGAAGGCAGCAUCACCAACCUCCCUGUGGGGGCCGAGCCCGCCUGAUGUUUCUCCUGCCGUAUCAAUAAAUACAUUAUAUAACAAUGUG